rnacentral:tRNA from 1 species
GUCAUUGUAGUUUAAUGGAAAAACGCAUCUUACUAUGUGAGAUAAGUUCUGGGUUCAAGUCCCAGCAGUGGCA